AGCUUUUUACAUUACGUGUCUGACUUUUCAAAUUUUUCUAUAGCAAAAUUUCAUUUGCUAUAAGGUUAAUUUAUUUAAUUAAUUCAGGAGUCAGUCCUGGGGCUUUUAUGGUUAAUACUGUAUUUACUGAGAGAAAAUCUCCAAUUUGCUAGCCAACAGAUCUGGCAGAAGGAGAAGGAAUGACCAGGACAGACCAGCCGCAGGAUGAAGGUGAAGAACACUGCUGGAAGAGGACUUCAUAUGACAGACUUACUGUAAGGGAAGAUAUGUGUCAAUUCAGGAUGGACAACAGAGAUAACUGUUGUUUUGAGCUGAAAGUUAUACUGCCCCAGAGUGGCAGCCAUUAGAAUGAUGGAGCACCCUCCUCCAGAUGCAGUUGGUUCAGCUCCUACUCCACACCUGUUACCUGCAUAGCAUUAUCACCCAUUGGCCUUCCAACUCGUCUCUCCGCAUGAACAGAGUUAUCCUUGCCCAGCUUCAGUUUUAUAGCACUACUUAAGAAAUUGCUGUCUGCUAUAGUUCAUUUGAUAUUCCAUUGCUUUUAUAUAAUUCUUCUUUUUUGUGUGUAGCAAGUAUCUAAUGUGAACACAGCUGGAAGAGGACUUCAUAUGACAGACUUACUGUAAGAGAAGAUAUAUGUCAAUUCAGGAUGGACAACAGAGAUAACUGUUGUUUUGAGCUGAAAGUUAUACUGCCCCAUAGUGGCAGCCAUAAGAAUGAUGGAAUGCCCUCCUCCAGAUGCAGCUGGUUCAGCCCCUACUACUCCACCCCUAUUACCUGCAUAGCAUUAUCACCCAUUGGCCUUCCAACUCGUCUCUCCGCAUGAACAGAGUUAUCCUUGCCCAGCUUCAGUUUUAUAGCACUAUUUAAGAAAUUGCUGUCUGCUAUAGUUCAUUUGAUAUUCCAUUGCUUUUAUAUAAUUCUUCUUUUUUGUGUGUAGCAAGUAUCUAAUGUGAACACAGCUGGAAGAGGACUUCAUAUGACAGACUUAUUGUAAGAGAAGAUGUAUGUCAAUUCAGGAUGGACAACAGAGAUAACUGUUGUUUUGAGCUGAAAGUUAUACUGCCCCAGAGUGGCAGCCAUUAGAAUGAUGGAGCACCCUCCUCCAGAUGCAGUUGGUUCAGCUCCUACUCCACACCUGUUACCUGCCUGGCAUUAUCACCCAUUGGCCUUCCAACUCGUCUCUCCUCAUGAAGAGUGUUAUUCUUGCCCAGCUUCAGUUUUAUCUUGUGAUUGACAUUUAUGCACUGUUUAUGUACAUUUUUAUGUUUUUAUACCUGCACUAUACAAAUAAAAUUGAGCUGAACUGAA